GGGGAUGUAGCUCAGAUGGUAGAGUGCUUGUCCCAUAUACACAAGGCCCUGGGUUCAAACCCCAGCACUACAA
rnacentral:tRNA from 1 species